CAGCCGCCACGGGAAUACAGAGGGUGCGAGCGUUAAUCGGAUUUACUGGGCGUAAAGCGUGCGUAGGCGGCUUCUUAAGUCGGAUGUGAAAUCCCUGAGCUUAACUUAGGAAUUGCAUUCGAUACUAGGAAGCUAGAGUAUGGGAGAGGAUGGUAGAAUUCCAGGUGUAGCGGUGAAAUGCGUAGAGAUCUGGAGGAAUACCGAUGGCGAAGGCAGCCAUCUGGCCUAAUACUGACGCUGAGGUACGAAAGCAUGGGGAGCAAACAGGAUUAGAUACCCCGGUAGUCCCUGUCUCUUAUAC
rnacentral:rRNA from 1 species